rnacentral:miRNA from 1 species
UGGGGGUCAUGUGUGUGUGUGUGUGUGUGUGUGUGUAGCGACCCAAGUGCCAGGGGGCCCUCAGGCCCACAGUCCC